CGUAUAGGGCUCGGGCGGGUCGCGGGACCGUGUGGCAGAACCUGCGGGCUAGGUGGGCAACUGAUCCUCCUAGACGCAAGAAAGCAAGGAAACCUGCCUGCACUAGCGAGGCAGCGUGCGGGGACCCGCUGUCCCGCGGCCGCAUCCUCCAGCUGCGGGAGACGGCGCACCAGCGGGCGCCCUGGCGGCGGCGGCGGCGCCCAGAGCGCAGGCCUCUCUUGGAUAGCCUGGAUGUACAGGAUGGCCUCCAGAUGCUCAGUUUUCAUCUCAACCUCCCGGAGUGUGCCAGCCACCAGGCCAGAACACCCACCUCUCUUUAAUGAACUGAUCAGAGUGUUGUUUGGUUGAUGAUCUGGGACUUCGGUGGCAGUGUGGAAGCCAAAACAGGAGCUUCUAGAAGGGGCUCCUGACAGGAAUCCAAAAAACCACAGCAUGUGACAGGUCAAGAUAGAACAUCUCAAGCCCUUCACAAGAGUUAAAUAUUCAUCUCAUCACCAACAUGAAGGUGCAGCUCAGGAAGUGAAACUGCCUUAGAGAAGGUGGCAAGAACUGCUUCAAGGAAACAGGCUGUUUAUGGGCGAUUCGAAAGAUGCUCAGUCUGAAGGUUAUUUUAACUGGUCUAGAGCUUCAUUCUUCAUAAUAUUACCUUUUCCACUAAGUCUCUACUGAAUGUAAUGACCACAGCAAACUCUCUUGUACCUGAAAGCAUGGAAAGACUUGGAAUUUCCUGAAGAUAUAAUGCUGUCCUUUAUCACUGUUCCUUACCCACUUUUCCCAAAUGGCCUUCACUAGAUGUAGUGGUGCUACAUGAGAUGAAACUGCCUCCUGGAAAAGGCCUGGGUCCGCAGAGACAACUUUGGAAAACUCGCCAUCCAUUGAUGUUGACUUGAGGGAAGAAUGGAUGUACUCUGGUUACUCAUGAAGCAGCCAAGCUGCAGAGGCAGUGUCUUUGGCAGUUCUCAUGCCUGCUUUCCCGGAAUGUUUUUCUUGACUGGGAAGAUACAAAUAAAUGUGUUACUUUU